GACGAACGCUGGCGGCGUGCCUAACACAUGCAAGUGGAGCGACGAACCAGGGCUUGCCCUGGGGCCAAGCCGCGAACGGGUGAGUAUCACGUGGGUAACCUGCCCCGAUGACCGGGACAACCCGAGGAAACUCGGGCUAAUACCGGAUGUGGUGUACACACAUAAGUGUGUCUACUAAAGGAAGCUUCGGCCUCCGCAUUGGGAUGGGCCCGCGGCCCAUUAGCUAGUUGGUGGGGUAAAGGCCACCAAGGCACGAUGGGUAGCUGGUCUGAGAGGACGAUCAGCCACACUGGGACUGAGACACGGCCCAGACUCCUACGGGAGGCAGCAGUGGGGAAUCUUGCGCAAUGCGCGAAAGCGUGACG
rnacentral:rRNA from 1 species